rnacentral:rRNA from 1 species
AACGAACGCUGGCGGCAUGCCUAACACAUGCAAGUCGAACGAGACCUUCGGGUCUAGUGGCGCACGGGUGCGUAACGCGUGGGAACCUGCCCUUAGGUUCGGAAUAACUCCCCGAAAGGGGUGCUAAUACCGGAUAAUGUCUUCGGACCAAAGAUUUAUCGCCUUUGGAUGGGCCCGCGUUGGAUUAGCUAGUUGGUAGGGUAAAAGCCUACCAAGGCGACGAUCCAUAGCUGGUCUGAGAGGAUGAUCAGCCACACUGGGACUGAGACACGGCCCAGACUCCUACGGGAGGCAGCAGUGGGGAAUAUUGGACAAUGGGCGAAAGCAUGAUCCAGCAAUGACGCGUGAGUGAUGAAGGCCUUAGGGUUGUAAAGCUCUUUUACCCGGGAUGAUAAUGACAGUACCGGGAGAAUAAGCGCCGGCUAACUCCGUG